rnacentral:lncRNA from 1 species
CUCAGCAUUGAUCUUCCAGAAUGACGCUUCCUCCUCCUUCCUGGUGGGGCCCAGGGCGUCCAGGCUGGAGGACCUGCUGCCUUGGGAGGACUUGAGGGCCUGGGAGCCCUGGGAAGCUUUGGACAGUGGUCUGGGCUCGCUGGCGGCGGUGCCGUUGCUCGGCUCCUGGAUGGAUAGGGCGGAGAUACUGAACUCCAUCUGACUCUUUGUUUCCCAGGAGAAAGGGGCAGAGUGCUCAUCUUGCCAAGUUAGAUCCUCGUCCCCGAAGCGCACCACCUUCUGGCCCGUGGGCCCGCGCAAGCCGGGGAAGCGCGUGAGCUCCUCCGAGUCCCCGGGGUCUCGGGGCGCCGGGGCGCGCGGCCCCACCAGGCACCGGUCGAUGAUCUCGUCCUGCUGCGCGGGCGGCAGCCGCGCCCACUCGGGCCCGUACUUCUCGCGGAUCUU